UACGGGGGGAGCAAGCGCUGUUCGGAUUUACUGGGCGUAAAGGGCGCGUAGGCGGUCAGCACAAGUCAAUUGUGAAAUCUCCGAGCUUAACUCGGAAAGGUCAACUGAAACUGUGCGACUAGAGUGCGGAAGGGGCAACUGGAAUUCUUGGUGUAGCGGUGAAAUGCGUAGAUAUCAAGAGGAACACCUGCGGCGAAGGCGGGUUGCUGGGCCGACACUGACGCUGAAGCGCGAAAGCCAGGGGAGCAAACGGG
rnacentral:rRNA from 1 species